rnacentral:misc_RNA from 1 species
AAGUCGUAACAAGGUUUCCGUAGGUGAACCUGCGGAAGGAUCAUUACAUUCAGUAGCCCAGCUACUUGUUUACACCCUUGUCUUUUUGCGUACUUAUCGUUUCCUCGGCGGGCUUGCCUGCCGGUUGGACAACUUUAUAACCUUUUUUUUAAAUCUUCAAUCAGCGUCUGAAUAAUAUACAAUAAUUACAACUUUCAACAACGGAUCUCUUGGUUCUG